CCUACGGGUGGCAGCAGUCGAGAAUUUUUCACAAUGGGCGAAAGCCUGAUGGAGCGACGCCGCGUGGGGGAUGAAUGGCUUCGGCCCGUAAACCCCUGUCAUUUGCGAACUUGUAGCGGAAGAGGAAGGGACGGCUAACUCUGUGCCAGCAGCCGCGGUAAUACAGAGGUCCCAAGCGUUGUUCGGAUUCACUGGGCGUAAAGGGUGCGUAGGUGGUGAGGUAAGUCGGAUGUGAAAUCUCCAGGCUCAACCUGGAAAUGGCAUUGGAAACUACCUUGCUAGAGGGUUUGAGGGGGGACUGGAAUACUUGGUGUAGCAGUGAAAUGCGUAGAUAUCAAGUGGAACACCAGUGGCGAAGGCGAGUCCCUGGAAAUCCUGACACUGAGGCACGAAAGCUAGGGGAGCAAACAGGAUUAGAUACCCUUGUAGUC
rnacentral:rRNA from 1 species